rnacentral:rRNA from 1 species
AGUGAACGCUGGCGGCGUGCUUAACACAUGCAAGUCGAACGGUAACAGGAACUAGCUUGCUAGUUUGCUGACGAGUGGCGCACGGGUGAGUAAUAUAUAGUUAAUGUACCCCAAAGACUGGGAUAGCCACUGGAAACGGUGAUUAAUACUAGAUACACCUCUUUAAUAUAAGUUAGAGAGGGAAAUGUCUUUUCGCUUUGGGAUCAGACUAUAUCCUAUCAGUUAGUUGGUGAGGUAAUGGCUCACCAAGGCAAUGACGGGUAGCGGUUCUGAGAGGAUGAUCCGCCACACUGGUACUGAGACACGGACCAGACUCCUACGGGAGGCAGCAGUGAGGAAUAUUGCACAAUGGGGGGAACCCGUGAUGCAGCAACGCCGCGUGGAGGAUGACGCAUUUCGGUGUGUAAACUACCUUUUAUAUGUCAAGAAAAUAG